GUUAGGGUUUGUGUCUGUCGUGUGGAAGCUUUGUUCAUUCGUCUUUUGCAAUAAAUCUUGCUACUGCUCAGUCUUUGGGUCCACACUGCUUUUAUGAGCUGUAGCAGUCACCACGAAGGUCUGCAGCUGCACUCCUGAGGCUAGCGAGACCACGAACCCACCGGGAGGAGCGAACGACUCCAGACGCGCUGACUUAAGAGCUGUAACAGCUUACCGCUAAGGUCUGCAGCUUCACUCCUGAGCCAGAGAGACCAGGAACCCACCUAGAAGGAACAAACUCCGGACAUGCCGCCUUUAAGAGCUGUAACACUCACCGCCAGGGUCCGCAGCUGCAUUCUUGAAGUCAGUGAGACCAAGAACCCACCAAUUCCAGACACACUGUCAUCAAAAAGUGGGAUAUCUUUUUAAACAGAGAUAACAUUGCAGAAUCUUGGAGUUGGAAAUAGACCUCAGCUGGGGUUUAGUCCUGUUUUCUCCUCAGAGCAGAAGUCCUGGGAUGCCGUUCUGGACUGAUUGUCAGUUUUUUCUCCUGUCCUUGAGCUAUUCUAAUGCCAGACAUCUGUGGCUUUACACAGCCAGGCUUUCAGUUAGAGAACUUGGUUAGCUCAGGUCAACAAAUGCUGCUCUGAGAACACUGACUCCCAUGUGGGGAGACUCUGCACCUGGAGCUCCGGGAGAGCCGGCUCAGGCCUCUUCCUGCUAUCCAGGGAACUGCAGUGGCGUUGGAGGGCCUUGCUGGGGCUGGGGCUGGGGAGAAGGGAUUCCAACCCUACUGAUAAUUCGUUUGGAAACACCGGGCUGUGGAUUUCAGAAGUUCUUGGGCAGCCUGAUUACCACUGGCAGUGAGCCGGGGACGAAGCCGAAGCUAUGAGUGACAGACGGAAAGAACUGGGGGCUUUGGUGAACCAGAGAACACUUAGCUCCUCCAGCCCUGAAGCAGGCGUCACCGCAGGGCUUAUGGUCCUAAGAGCCACUUAGUUUCCUUAUUCAUUAAACUAGUUUAAUUUGGGUUUUCUGCAUCCUGGAGGACACCAAGUCGGUGUGCGGAGGGACCCUGUAGACACGUGUGCAAAGAAUAAGCCGACGAUCAUGGAAUUUCUGAUGACGCCACUGACACGUGGGAUGGAGGCCUCCUUCCCAGGGCACCCCUACACUCAUGACAAUGAAUCCUGGCUCUUAUUCACCCCUUUGGAUUUCACAAGCAAGUAGCCUAUAUGGAGAACAAUCAGGACUCCAAACCUGGAAUCUUCAAAAACAAUUUAGGACUGAAUGCAUAGUUUUAAAGAAAAGGUCCAGUCUCAUGAUAUAAGGUAUUUUGUCACUUUCAUAUCUGUAAGAAUAUAUGUCUUUGUAUAUAAUAUCCCUGUUAAUGGUCUGUAUCCAAGUAAAAUAAUUGAUGUAAUUUCUGAAAUCCUGUUUUUUAAAAAAUGACAAAACUAAAAGGAUAAACGC
rnacentral:lncRNA from 10 species